rnacentral:tRNA from 1 species
GUUUUUGUAGCUCAUACGGGUAGAGCAAUCGAUUCAUAAUCGAUGGGUAGCAGGUUCGAAUCCUGCCAAAAACACCA